AUUUAUACAUUGUAAAUAUAAGAAAGAGAACACCUAAAUAUUCCAACGAUUCGAUGUUGAACAGCUAGAAUCUUCAAGUACUUUUUCUUCCUCUCCUUUGCUGCGGCACAGGGACUUUGGGCAGGUUUUUGGGUUAUUAAUUGAUGUAGAAUGGAUGGGGGACGUAUGGAAGUGUUUAGGGUUGAUGGGUGAUGCGGCUAGGGGUGACUUGUGGCAGAAAUUUGGGUGAAUGGUGGUAGAAAGGUGCAGCUGAAGGUGGUAGGAUGUUUCUGGCGUGAAUGGUUAUUUUCUAGAUGUUUUGUGGCUGCAAAAGAGGAGUUUAUUUAAAGGAUUUCAGGAAUUAAAACCCUAGGUUAUUUAGGUAAUCAGAAAUUAAGUCUAAGGCUUCUAGAAAUAGGAAACAAAAUCAGAAAAUUAAAGGAAAGGGCAAGGGAUAUGCGGCACAGCUUUAAAACACAUUAGGAAUGUGUUUUAAUGCAUAAAAUCAGGAAACAACCCUCUCCCUUGCACGGCAAGGAAGAGGAAAUGUCAAGGGGGUGCGGAAAGGGUUCAUAAUGUGCAAGGGAUGUGUAUUUGAUGUCCUAGAAUGCUUAGGAUGCCUUCAAAGUUGAUAAAACUUAGGAACAUUUAGGAAAUGUCAAACCAAAGUAGGAAACCUUGGCUUAACUUUCCUAUUUCAAGUAGGAAUCCUUCUUGGAGUAGGAAUCCUUGUUCUUCUAGGAAUCCUCAUGUGAUUAGGAAUCCAUCUUCAAUUAGGAAUCCUUUGUCGAUUAGGAAUCCUUCGUCGAUUAGGAAUCCUUGGUUGAUUAGGAAUCCUUAUUUCUUCAAGUCUUCAAUUCAUCCAUUCUUUUUGCUCCAAAAGGCUCCAAAUUACAUCAUUUUGCACACUUCGGCUUUGGAAUCUGAAAACAC
rnacentral:lncRNA from 1 species